rnacentral:rRNA from 1 species
UACAGAGGUGGCAAGCGUUGUUCGGAAUUACUGGGCGUAAAGCGUGUGUAGGCGGCCACGUAAGUCGGAUGUGAAAGCCCUGGGCUCAACCCAGGAAGUGCACUCGAUACUGCGUGGCUCGAGUACUGGAGAGGUUGGUGGAAUUCUCGGUGUAGAGGUGAAAUUCGUAGAUAUCGGGAGGAACACCAGUGGCGAAGGCGGCGAUCUGGGUCGAUACUGACGCUGAGGUGCGAAAGCGUGGGGAGCAAACAGG